CGCGUAGGCGGCACGUCAAGCGUGUGGUGAAAGCCCGGGGCUCAACCCCGGGUCGGCCAUGCGGACUGGCGUGCUCGAGCACUGUAGGGGCGGGUGGAAUUCCGGGUGUAGCGGUGGAAUGCGUAGAGAUCCGGAAGAACACCGGUGGCGAAGGCGGCCCGCUGGGCAGGAAGACGGAGCAAUCCGUCGGCUGACGCUGAUGCGCGACAGCGUGGGGAGCAAACAGGAUUAGAUACCCUGGUAGUCCACGCCGUAAACGAUGGGCACUAGGUGCUUGGGGGAGCGACCCCCUGGGUGCCGGCGCUAACGCAUUAAGUGCCCCGCCUGGGGAGUACGGCCGCAAGGCUGAA
rnacentral:rRNA from 1 species